rnacentral:rRNA from 1 species
UACAGAGGGGGCAAGCGUUGUUCGGAAUUACUGGGCGUAAAGGGCGCGUAGGCGGCCUGCUAAGUCGAACGUGAAAUCCCCGGGCUCAACCCGGGAACUGCGUCCGAUACUGGUUGGCUUGAAUCCGGGAGAGGGAUGCGGAAUUCCAGGUGUAGCGGUGAAAUGCGUAGAUAUCUGGAGGAACACCGGUGGCGAAGGCGGCAUCCUGGACCGACAUUGACGCUGAGGCGCGAAAGCCAGGGGAGCAAACGGG